UACGUAGGGGGCGAGCGUUAUCCGGAUUCAUUGGGCGUAAAGCGCGCGUAGGCGGCCGCCUAAGCGGAACCUCUAACCCCGGGGCUCAACCUCGGGCCGGGUUCCGGACUGGGCGGCUCGAGUGCGGUAGAGGAGAGCGGAAUUCCCGGUGUAGCGGUGGAAUGCGCAGAUAUCGGGAAGAACACCGAUGGCGAAGGCAGCUCUCUGGGCCGUCACUGACGCUGAGGCGCGAAAACUGGGGGAGCGAACAGG
rnacentral:rRNA from 1 species